rnacentral:rRNA from 1 species
GAGUUUGAUCCUGGCUCAGGAUGAACGCUAGCGGCAGGCUUUAUACAUGCAAGUCGAGGGGCAGCAUAAAUUACUUGUAAUUUGAUGGCGACCGGCGAACGGGUGCGUAACGCGUAUGCAACUUACCUUUUACUAGAGAAUAGCCAAGAGAAAUUUUGAUUAAUGCUCUAUACACUUAUUAAUUCUCAUGAAUCUAUAAGAAAAGCUCCGGCGGUAAAAGAUGGGCAUGCGUCCUAUUAGCUUGUAGGUGAGGUAACGGCUCACCUAAGCUCCGAUAGGUAGGGGUCCUGAGAGGGAGAUCCCCCACACUGGUACUGAGACACGGACCAGACUUCUACGGAAGGCAGCAGUAAGGAAUAUUGGACAAUGGAGGCAACUCUGAUCCAGCCAUGCCGCGUGAAGGAAGACGGCCUUAUGGGUUGUAAACUUCUUUUAUACAGGAAGAAACCUUUCCACGUGUGGAAAGCUGACGGUACUGUAAGAAUAAGGAUCGGCUAACUCCGUGCCAGCAGCCGCGGUAAUACGGAGGAUCCAAGCGUUAUCCGGAAUUAUUGGGUUUAAAGGGUCCGCAGGCUGUUUGUUAAGUCAGAGGUGAAAUCCUACCGCUCAACGGUAGAACUGCCUUUGAUACUGGCAAACUUGAGUUAUUGUGAAGUAGUUAGAAUGUGUAGUGUAGCGGUGAAAUGCAUAGAUAUUACACAGAAUACCGAUUGCGAAAGCAGAUUACUAACAAUAUACUGACGCUGAGGGACGAAAGCGUGGGUAGCGAACAGGGAUUAGAUACCCUGGUAGUCCACGCCGUAAACGAUGGUCACUAGCUGUUUUGAUGUACAUUUGGGUACAUUUGAGGUGGGCUAAAGCGGAAAAGUUGAUUAAAGUUGACCCCACCCUGGGGGAGGUACCGCUCUCGCCAAAGAGGUAAAACCUCCAAAAGGGAAUUGAACGGGGGGCCCCGCACACAAACGGGGUGGGAGCCAUGCGGGUUUUAUUUCCGAAUGAUAUACGGGAGAGGGAACUUUAACCCAGGAACCUUAAAAUGGUAAGGUGCCAAUGGAAUUCAGAGAAAUGGAACUCUUUCUUUCCGGACCUACUUUACAAGGGUGCCUGGCAUGGUGGUCCGUUCAGGCUCGUGCCCGUGAAGGUGUCAGGUAAAGUUCCUAUAACGAGCGCAACCCCCCUAUCGUUAGUUGCCAUCAAGUAAAGUUGGGAAACUCUAGCGAAACUGCCGUGCAACGUGAGGAAGUGGGGUGACGUCAAUCAUCACGGCCCUUACGUUCUGGGCUCCACACGUGCUACAUUGGCCGGUACAGAAAGCAGCCACUAUGCGAAUAGGAGCUAAUCUUCAAAGCCGGUCUCAGUUCGGAUCGCAGUCUGCAACUCGACUGCGUGAAGCUGGAAUCGCUAGUAAUCGGAUAUCAGCCAUGAUCCGGUGAAUACGUUCCCGGGCCUUGCACUCAC